GGAACUUCGAGUUCACAAAUCAUCUCCUUUCAAGGCAAGUGCCUGGUGUGACAACAGGGUUAUGACCCUCCCUCUCUUCAGAACAGCCCACCGACUCACUGGAACUAACACAGCCCGGCAUUGUGGGAAUUCUUUUCAGGUGCACGGUCUCAAAUAAUCAGCAUAACAACCCUGUGAGGAGUGGAAGGAGACCAGAUGCCCAGAUGGUCCCAGUUUAUGAAACGAGAAGAACACAGUCCCGGAGGAGAGCCUGUUGGUGACAGCAAGUUAGACAUGGCAGCUGCAGGGCCUGGCUGUUCUAUCCACAUGCUGAUGCCUGUGCCUGAACAACAUAACCCCUCCUCUGAACAAUAUGAGACAAAUCAAGAUGCUUUCCUACUGACGGGCUUUGAGAAAUGAUCUGCUCUUCUAGCUCUUGUCUUUCCUGAGCACGUCUGCUGAACUUCCCGGGUUAUAUGCGGGCUGUGAAUUCCUGCAUUUAUCUACCUUUGUUUUCCUGUGUGGACAUAAGGCUGCCUGGCCUCCCAGAGACAAAUGUUUGGACUGAACUUCAC